rnacentral:rRNA from 1 species
UACGUAGGGGGCAAGCGUUGUCCGGAUUUAUUGGGCGUAAAGAGCGUGUAGGCGGCCAGGUAGGUCUGCUGUGAAAACUCGAGGCUUAACCUCGAGCUGUCGGCGGAAACCAUCUGGCUAGAGUCCGGAAGAGGAGAAUGGAAUUCCACGUGUAGCGGUGAAAUGCGUAGAGAUGUGGAGGAACACCAGUGGCGAAGGCGACUCUUUGGCCUGUAACUGACACUGAGGCGCGAAAGCGUGGGGAGCAAACAGG